rnacentral:lncRNA from 1 species
GUCUGCCACCAGGUGAGAUGUGUUUUUCACCUUCCACCAUGAUUGUGAAGCCUUCCCAGCCAUGUAGAACUGUAAGUCCAAUAACUACCUUUCUUUUAUUAAUUGCCCAGUCUUGGGUAUGUCUUUAUCAGCAGCGUGAAAAUGGACUAAUACAAGUGGGUAAUGCCUUGUGGGGAUAGGAGGCAAUAACAGCACAUAGUGCAUAGGAUAAAUGCCUAAUCCAGUUCAGUGAUUGGGAUGUGGCUAGGGGUGGACAGUUCAGAAAGGUUUUUAAGAGGAAUUAACAUUGAAAACGCAAGACCAACAGGAGCAAGUCAAGCUAAAAAGAACAGAAGAGAAAAAUGUUCCAAACUGAGGAAAGUGUGCAAAGACUCUCAAGGAAAGAAGUCUUGGUAGGUUUGGAAAAGUCUGAGGAACUUCAAUCUGGCUGAUCAAGUGCAAGGGUAAAAGGCGAGGUUGCAAACACAGGAAGAGGUUAAAGUGGACCUCUUUACUUUAUAGGCAAAAUUAAUGGGGUUGGCCUUGAUCCUGACAGCAAAGGGAGGCCACUUAAAUGUUAAGCAGUGAGAUGAUAUGAAAUUGUCUUUAGAACAAAAGAUUUCCAAAUGGGGUAGGCUCAUUCACUGGGGUUCAAGGUGUCAGAGGCAUGAACAGUUUUUUGUAAUUAAUUUUAAGGUGGUCACCUUCCUUUUGUACUCCUUCUACUAGAGAAUGCACACACUUGUGAUGAAGGCAUCAUAUGGUUUUCCUUUUCCUCUUGCCCUAGCAUAAUUAUCUUUCUCCCUCUUUUAUUUUUAUUUAUUAUUAUUUUUUUAUGAGGCAUAUCACUCAUUCAUUCUGAACCUUGCUUUGGUGAGUUAUCCAGGGGCACCAAACAGAUGGACAAUUCAGAAUACUGGUACUGGUGAAGACUCCUCUUGUCAAGACACAAUAAACUCACUUGGAAGAUUUGAGAUUUGUCCUUGUAUUAAAAAUAUUUUUAUUAGGGGCAAAAUGUGGUAUCAGAAAUAGGGUGUUAGAAUGUUUUGGAAUCAGAUAUCUUGCAGAGCAAAGAUGCUGGAGUAAUGAUAAUUUUUACCUAUUGGUUUUGUCUCUUUCAUUCCUGAACUAUCAUCAAAGAAUGCAAUGCACCUGAAAAGAAAAAAAAUUUGAUUAAACACAUUGAUGAGGGUGGCACCUCACUUCAUCCAGGAAACAAUGCAAGUCAAAGAUCCCUGCUUUAUCUAUUUUAGUAUUGGAGCAUUCCAAAUUGUAAAAAGCAUCAUAGGAAGUAAGCAUCUGCAACAGAGUGAACCCUCUGGAUAUUUUCCCCCUCCUGGGUAAGGAGAAAGAAUACCAAUACCAACGAGAGAAUUCCCCUUCACCUGUGUUUUCAGCUGUCUUGUUGGUCUGAUUUCAAGGAGAAAAGAGUGGAAAAUAAUUGAUUCAUUUUCUAAAGAUUUUACAGCUUCAGUGAAAGGAACAUAUAACAAAGAAACCAGUUGCCAUGAUGUGAGGAAGCUCAAGCAACCCUAUGGAGAAACGGUUUCCCACAGGGAAAGAUAUCCAGAUCCCUGUCUAACAGCUUCAAUUGAGCACCCAUCUGAAAUAAGCAUCAACCUGUCAACCAUGUGAGUGAGCUGUCUUGGAAGUGGACCCUCCAGCCACAGCUGAGUCAUUCAAGCUGAUGAGUAGAGACAAGCUAUUUCCAAUGGGCCUUAACAAAAUUGCAGAUUUGUGAGCAAAACAAAUAAUUUUUGUUGUUUCAAGAUACUAAAUUUUGGAGGAGUUUGUUAUACAACAAUAGAUAACCAGAAAACCAUGACAUAUGAAUUAUAAAUUUAUCAUUGAGUUGUUGGUUAUCUUUCCACCUCUGAAAAUUAAAUACCUAGCCAGUCAUGAUAAAGAGUAAGGUAAAAAAAGUAUGAAAGUAUGAGAAAUAUAUAUGAAAAAUCAAGGAUGAGCAGAAAAUAGGAUCAGGAAUGAGGCUAAUAUAUAAUGCAUACCACAAUUCUUAAUUUGGAAAAUUUUGUCAAUUUCUAAUAAAGUUAAACAUACAUCCGACCUAUGAGUCAGCAAUUUUACUCUUAUGUAUAUACUCAAAGAAUAUCAAAUAAAGACAUAUGUCCACCAAAACACUCUUAAAGAAUGCUCAUAGUAGCUUCAUUCAUAAUGAUUCCCAAAUGGAAACAAUGGAAAUGUCAUUAAACAAUGAAUGAAGCCAAACACAUGAGUCUACAUACUGUAUGAUUUCAUUGAUAUUAAGUUCAAAAACAUGCAAAUUAAACUACGAUAACAGGAGUUGUAUGGCUGGUUACCUUUGGAGGAAAAGGAAAUGACUAGGAAGGAUCACUUUAAAAAAUCUUCUAUAGUGAUAGGAUCUUUUAUAUAUUGACCUGGAUAAUAGUUACAUGGAUGUAUACAUAUGUAAAAUUAAUUGUGCUAUACACUAAAGGUUUGUGCAUUUGACUGUGUCAAUUAUUUCACAUUUAAAAAUAAAUAAA